GGACUCACAGCAUAGCCCUUUUUCUCAGCAUGCCACCGUCCGUGAUUUUAAAGGCAAUGAAUUUUAUUUUCAGAUUCUGAAAACUCCUUCUUUUGAAAUACGGAAAAUCUCUCAGUAAGAUCAACCUGGCAUAGAUACUUGCAUACCUUCAUGACCAAGCCCACCAGGCUGACAGAGAGUGCUAAGCAACCGUGCCUUCUUCAGGGAGCAGCUCCUGCGCUGCUGCCACUUGUCACCUCUCAGGACAUACACUGCUCAGGUGAAAGAAGCCGUGACUGAGGACACUCCAGGAGUCUCCCCAGCAUUCAGAUACACAAUGACACACUGCAUCUGCCCACAGUUCUCUCUCCACUCCCCAUAAAGCCAACACCAUCAAGGGUAGGAUGUUCCCCCACAUCACCUUGUUGCUUUCUGUCAACUUCCAUCAACAAAUCUCUGCCACCAUGAGUCCCCAGUGGGUUCAGUGUGAAGUGUCUCUCUCCUAGCCUUCAUAGGGGACUUGGCUGCAGGGAUGAAGCCAAACAUUCCUCAGUACCAGGAAACAUGUUAAAUAAUGCUCACUGGAAGCUCAGUUGUGUUCACAGUAUUUCCACAAAGCUUGCUCUGUGAACUGCAGAGCAGUAUGGGUCCAGAGUGCAGUGUGGCAAAGAUUAUAUUUCACCAAGAUAAGCAGAACAGAGAACUUUCCCAACAGUUACACUGUACAGUGGGGGGAAGAGGGAACCAUGGUGCAAGGAUAUAAGAGUCACUGAGGACAUGGGAUGGAGGGAAGGUUCUUCGCCAGAGCCACAUGUGAAUAUCAUCCAUGUGAAAUAACACUUGGAGAAUACCCAUCCUGCAGUCUGAUGACCUGAUCUACCAGCUCUAACAAAGUGACAGAAAGCCAUCCUUUACCUUAUGUGCUCCUGCCACCAGGCUUACAUCCCAUGUUCUUGUGCUAAUGGGUUCCUUCCCUUCCUAGGUUACAUCUGUCAUGACGUCUACUACCAUAGGACUACAGACAUCACUAGACCCUGGCUGUCAGAGCAUCAAUAUUUUGCUGUUGGAAAGAGUUCCAUCAGUAGAGCUCUCAGUUUCCAAUCAGGUUUAAUUUUGGGGAAAAAAGAAACAGAAUGG